rnacentral:rRNA from 1 species
GACGAACGCUGGCGGCGUGCUUAACACAUGCAAGUCGAACGGAAAGGCCCUGCUUUUGUGGGGUGCUCGAGUGGCGAACGGGUGAGUAACACGUGAGUAACCUGCCCUUGACUUUGGGAUAACUUCAGGAAACUGGGGCUAAUACCGGAUAGGAGCUCCUGCUGCAUGGUGGGGGUUGGAAAGUUUCGGCGGUUGGGGAUGGACUCGCGGCUUAUCAGCUUGUUGGUGGGGUAGUGGCUUACCAAGGCUUUGACGGGUAGCCGGCCUGAGAGGGUGACCGGCCACAUUGGGACUGAGAUACGGCCCAGACUCCUACGGGAGGCAGCAGUGGGGAAUAUUGCACAAUGGGCGGAAGCCUGAUGCAGCAACGCCGCGUGCGGGAUGACGGCCUUCGGGUUGUAAACCGCUUUCGCCUGUGACGAAGCGUGAGUGACGGUAGUGGGUAAAGAAGCACCGGCUACCUACGUG